rnacentral:rRNA from 1 species
CCUACGGGUGGCAGCAGUGGGGAAUAUUGCACAAUGGAGGGAACUCUGAUGCAGCGACGCCGCGUGAGUGAAGAAGUAAUUCGUUAUGUAAAGCUCUAUCAGCAGGGAAGAAAGUGACGGUACCUGAAAAAGAAGCUCCGGCUAAAUACGUGCCAGCAGCCGCGGUAAUACGUAUGGAGCAAGCGUUAUCCGGAUUUACUGGGUGGAAAGGGAGAGUAGGUGGCAGAGCAAGUCCGAAGUGAAAACCCAAGGCUAAACUAUGGGAAUGCUUUUGAAACUGCUCAGCUAGAGUGUAGGAGAGGUAGGUGGAAUGCAUGGUGUAGCGGUGAAAGGCUUAGAUAUAAUGAGGAACACCGAUUGCGAAGGCGGCUUACUAAGCUACUUCUGACGUUGAGGCACGAAAGCGUGGGGAGCAAACAGGAUUAGAUACCCUUGUAGUC